GGAAGUAAAUAACAAGGUCUCCGUAGGUGAACCUGCGGAGGGAUCAUUACAGAGUUCUCGCCCUCGCGGGUAGAUCUCCCACCCACUGUUAUCGUUACUGUGUUGCUUUGGCGGGCCGCCGGGCCCCGCUCGGCCGCCGGCUCCGGCUGGCGCGCGCCCGCCAGAGGCCCAGCAAACUCUGAAUGUUAGUGUCGUCUGAGUACUAUAUAAUAGUUAAAACUUUCAACAACGGAUCUCUUGGUUCUG
rnacentral:misc_RNA from 1 species